AGAAUCAACGCUGGCGGCGUGCCUAACACAUGCAAGUCGCACGAGAAAGGGACUUCGGUCCUGAGUACAGUGGCGCACGGGUGAGUAACACGUGGAUCAUCUACCUCCGAGUGGGGAAUAACUGAGAGAAAUCUUAGCUAAUACCGCAUAACACUUACGAGUCAAAGCAGCAAUGCGCUUGGAGAGGAGUUCGCGGCAGAUUAGUUAGUUGGCGGGGUAAUGGCCCACCAAGACGAUGAUCUGUA
rnacentral:rRNA from 1 species